rnacentral:rRNA from 1 species
AACGAACGCUGGCGGCGUGCCUAACACAUGCAAGUCGCGCGGGAAAGUUCCCUUCGGGGAGCGAGUAUAGCGGCGCACGGGUGAGUAAUACGUAGGUAACCUGCCCUUGAGACUGGGACAACCUGUCGAAAGACGGGCUAAUACCGGAUAAGACCACGAGAGCUGCGGCUCUUGGGGUAAAAGGUGGCCUCUGCUUGCAAGCUAUCACUUGAGGAUGGGCCUGCGCGCCAUUAGCUAGUUGGUGAGGUAACGGCUCACCAAGGCAGAGAUGGCUAGCUGGUCUGAGAGGAUGACCAGCCACACUGGGACUGAGACACGGCCCAGACUCCUACGGGAGGCAGCAGUGGGGAAUAUUGCGCAAUGGGCGAAAGCCUGACGCAGCGACGCCGCGUGGGUGAUGAAGGCCUUC